UACGGAGGGUGCAAACGUUGCUCGGAAUCAUUGGGCGUAAAGCGAGCGUAGGCGGUCUUAUAAGUCGGAUGUGAAAGCCCUCGGCUCAACCGAGGAAGUGCACCCGAAACUGCAAGACUUGAGUGUCGGAGAGGGUGACGGAAUUCCCGGUGUAGAGGUGAAAUUCGUAGAUAUCGGGAGGAACAUCAGUGGCGAAGGCGGUCACCUGGACGAUAACUGACGCUGAGGCUCGAAAGCGUGGGGAGCAAACAGG
rnacentral:rRNA from 1 species